AACAUGUAAGAAUAAAUACACAAUUUUUUAUAAAUAAAUUUUGGGGGAUUUCUGAGUUCCCCUUGUAGGUUAAGACCAGAUACUAACUGCUUUGACCAUAAUAUCCCAAUGACAAUAAAAAUUAUCCUUGUCUAGAAAUUAUUAUAAUGUUAUUUAUUUUUACUUAUAACAAGUGUCAUGAUCCCAGUGAUUGGAGUUGAUUUUUAAGAUGGAUAGCCAUAGAGUUAGGUAAAAUUAUUUUGAAUUGGCCAGUACUGAAAAUAAAAGUUUUAAAAACUGACCAAAAUAAUAAUUACUUACAUUUUACUUUUGUGUUUUCUGAAACAGCACUCCAUUAUCCAGAAAUCACAGGCUAGAGAGCCAAUAAUUUUAUAGUAAUGGAUCUUUAUACUAAAUAUGGGAAAGGCAGUCCUGAAGUGUUAUGUAUAUAGAUAGCAGUUCAUUUUUUAAAUGUCUGAGUUGCCAUAUAAUAUAUAUAUAGCAAUGUGUAUAAUGUGUAAAAUUCUCCCAAAGUACGUGAAUAAAACUAAAUAUAGUCACUCAUAGUGUUCCAAAAUUUUUAAUUAAUCCCCAUUCCUAAGACAUUCUAAAACUUGUUUUUAGAUUGUUUUAAAAGACUCUGGUUUUACCUUGAAGCUGGUACUAAUCUCCUUUCUGAAAAAUAUAUGAGAUAUUCAGCUCAGAAAAUAACCAGUCAUUAUUAUAACUUUCUUAAGGAAAAAGGGAAGAGUUCUGUAUGGAAGCCUCUUGGGAAAUACUUAUUUAAAACUUUGAAUAAAUAUGAGGUAUGAUUUAGGCUUAGAGAUUAUGGUACCUGCCCUUAUUCCAAAGGAUUUACUGUGAGCAUUCAUGUAAUAAUAACUGUAAUGUAUCUGAAGUUCUCAAGAAAUUCAAUAUUUUAAAUAACGGGAUUACUGUAUAUAGUACAAAUAGAUAGUCUUCACAAACUUUAAAAAUACAUUGACUAAUAGUUCAGCAUCUGUCAGUUUUUUAUGUAAGUACAUGUUGUAUACCUGAGGACGAUGACUAUUCUAUGAUUUUUUUAAGGUAAGGUAAUUUUUAAAUUGCAUUUUUGUUCUAGCUUUUUUCAAUUUAUAUUCACUUUUUAAGUACUUUCCAUAAUUCAUCAUGUUUACCUUCUGUGUUCCUGGAAUGAUUUUUUGAAAAAUGCACAGGAAUCAAACAUGAAUCCUUAAUAUACUAAAAAGUGAAAGAAUGAUGAUUUCUCAUUUUUAAGGUAAGAAGCAUGGUUUUUGCCACUUUGGCAAUACACUGCAAUACUUAACAUAUUCUCUAGUGAGAAAAGUAAAGAUGGGGUACUUCUACUGGCUAAGAUCCUAAUUCUGAUGCUAUGUGAUCUUUGAUCAAAUUUACAUCUCCCUUUGCCUUUUCUAUUCCACUUGUUAAACAGGGCUAAGUUAACAUUAAUAUUUGUCCUCACCUUAAAUUAUAAGAUGAAAUUUGUAACUGUGAUGUGAUAAAUGCUAAACUGAAAAUCCUUAUUAGGCUACUUUAUCUCUUAUCCUUUCAUUCUUUUAACAUGUACCUCCUUCUGCAGUAAUGCAGUCAGUGGUGAACACCAUUCAGGAAUCCUACCUCCAGCUCUGAAGCAGCCUCAAGGCAAUUGUUCCAGCCUGUAAAAUGGUCUGUUCUGCUCUGUUAGUGGUCCUGGUCAAAAGAUUCCUUUUAAUUUAGAAACCCAUUUUAAGUACAAAUCCUUGCUGCCAACCAGACCACUCGCAAGUCAAAUAAAAUUUGAGCAAGCAUUCCAGCACUCUUUUACAUCAAAACAAACUCUGAUCUUUGCUCUGUAAAGCUGUCCCACUUUAUCCUUAUGCCUGAAAUUGACCACUGCAGCCCUCUUGUUUUACCCAUAGCAUUAAGUGUAAAAGGCAUCUGUUUCUUUAUAGAAACAUUCACAAUGAGGUCCAAUUAGUGAACCUUGCAAAAUCCAGAUAGUAAUCCAUUGCAGUUAUUAUUUUCUCUUUCUAAUCCCUUCUCAGUCACUGACUGUAAUGCAGGGAUGUGAGAAAUCUGACUUAUCUGCACACACAAAAGUCAAAAGCAACAAUUCUCCCCACUUCCCUCCCCCCCCACCUCUUUCCCCCGGCUAGCUCUUACUGUUUUCUAAUUUCCAGCACAAACUGAAUGAACACAUCUAUAGCUAAUACAAAUGCUGCCUAUAACAUGGAAGAUUAAAUGACUUACUGCUUAUAAAGCAACCGUCUUUGAGUCCCAUGAAAUAGAUAUUGUUGCUACCACAAAAUAAGGUCUUAUUUUAAAAGUUGGAAAUAGAUGCCUUUAUUGCACUUCAGCCACUAGCAAACCAGGAGUAGCAACAUAAAAGUAUGGCAGCCACAUCUGAGAUUUGGCUUUCCUUCUGUCAUUCAAGAUGGCCAGGGCACUUGGAGGAAGCCUAAUAAACUCACUUAGAGAAGAAAAAACGAUAGCAUUAAAAACUCAUCAGCUCUAAACCACAACAGUAAACCAGCAGUCCAUUGCCACUUAAAACAUGUGGCUUUCAUCUUAUUCUUCAGUAGGAGUUGGGGACAGUAGUCCAAGUGACAUGGCUUUGAAGAUAUCAAGCUUGUCCUGGUAAACAUGGUCCAAAUGAGAAACACCGUUGCCUUUUUAGGUAUAACAAGAUUUCAGGCACAGCUCAGCUACAUCUGUACUUGAAAUACAAGAAGUGAUUCCUUGGGUUCUGUUGUAGAAGAAUGAACACUAGAGUUCAGCAACAAGUGCAAUUUCUACAUGUUGUGUGGAACUCUGCUAGAGCUACAAGGGGUGUUGGAUGUGAAAACCUUGCUGUGGGAAUUUUUUUUUUUUCCAGUUUGUUUUGGUAUAUUUUUCCUUUGAACACAGAUGCAUGCUUUUUUUAACCUCUAGUCUUUGAAGUGAUUGUGAAGAGAAUCUUUUUAAUGGAAGGCAAAAUGCUUGUUAGCAAUCUAAAAAUCAAAGCUGAACAAGCUGCUUAAGUAAGUUGCUGAUGCAGACAUUUAAAAAUAAAGAGUAAUUGCUACUGCUUUCCAGGUAAUUGUAUUACUAGUUUCUGUAUAAAAGAAACAUGACUGCUGUUCUUGUAUAAAUAAAAUUUGCCUUCAGUACAGUUAAGUAUUCGUUUUUCAGAAACUGUCCCUAUAAAUCUUUUCACAUAUUUCCAUAUACUGUCCAAAACAAAAAUUACUGAAAUGUUCAAUCUGUAGAGAUUAAAUACUCCUAGUAAAAUAUUUUUGUAUAUAUAAAGAAAUAAAUAUUUACUAUUGGAAAAAUGCAGUGUUUCAUUUAUAGGUAGAACCGAGGUUUAGAGUUUGUUUUGUUUUUGUUUUUAGUGGAGGAUUUCAGAUUAGCUGUGGUAAUUUCUUUUAAGUGCUAAUAGUCUUUGUAAAAAGCCCUUAAGAUCAUUUAGUUUUUCCCACCUAAAUAAACAUACAUUUAUCA